CUAAUUUCAUCAUUGAGAAAUCUUCUGUCUUAAGCAGCCUCCGCCACCUCCAUAAAUUUGCAUAUUCUAUCUGCCCCGGGAAUGCAGCGCGCCCGAUUUGCAUACUGCAGCUGGAGGGGCUGGCGCUGCUCUUGAACCCCAAUGCCGCAGGAGCGAGGAAGCAAUUAUUAAGCUCUAGACAUUGGCGGGGAGCGUGGCCCCGAUGGAUGGCAGCUCCACACCUUAUCCACCGCCCGGCUGCUCAUUAGCCCAGGCCCGGAUCGCAGGCAGCAGUGGAUCCCAGGAAGCCAGGAAUCGCUCUCUGGCACCAGCCUGUAGGCAGCCCAGGUGGCAGCAUCCAGGUACAGCAAUGGCCCCUUCUGUGCUCAGAGAAGAUCAUCUAGGCAGGUCACCUGGAGGAACUUUGACCUCAGAUGUUCUUGACAGUUUUAAACCCAGUGAGUUCAUGAACUGCCCGGCCAGAGAUCCACCUGUUCACUUCCACAGCUGGGCGCAGUGGCGCAUGCCUAUAAUCCCAGCGACUCAGGAGGCCAAGGAAAGAAGAUCGAAAGUUCAAGGCCAGCCUCAGCAACUUG